CACACUGCCGUGCACGAGGCCGCACAAGUUUGCAGUAGAUGCAGAUGGUGAAGAUGAAAAGGAUGGGAGAGGGUGGAGGAAGUCAGCUUCGAGAGAGUGAAAUCAAGAAGUCACUGUCGAGGUGCACGGACUGAAACAAGACUCGGAUAUGAAAGGAGAGCUAAUGUGAGAGAGAGAAAAGAUCUUUGCUUUGUAGCCAGUUAAACAUCUGGAAUUGUGGGAUCCUCCCAAACUGAGAUGUUUUACUGCAUCGGACCUGCAACAUUUAGAGAGAAGCAAGCCCACCCUGCGACCUUUUCUCACCUCCAGUGCACUCACCGCCUAUUCUUUAAGGGGCAGAGAGGCAGAGGUAGCAAGGGAGCGAGCAGGCACUAGAAAGAGGAAGCAGCAUGCGUCGUAGUGGCUUCAACAUCAGCACUUCUCUGUUUUGUUAACCAAAUAAUGAGGCGCUCGGAGGAACAUUUCAUACUAGCUACGACCGAGGCAUCAUGAGGCCGAAGCACCGCUGGACCGUCCUGCACGUGUUCAUCUUGGCAGGGAUGCUUCUCACCUUAAAAGCUGACGGUGAAGAUCCAGAUUGUGAAGUUGAAGUCAAAGUCCGUCAAAACACGUCUUAUGAAGCGGUCGUGGGAGAAGAGCUUCGGAUUAACUGCACAGUUGAAUUCUGCAGCGACGCCCCGCCUCCGGUCUCCUGGUACAAACGUGGGACGACUGACGUCCGUGUCAGCUUCAGCGGUCACAUUAAAACUGAGUGGAAACUUUUAAAUCCUUUCCUGGGGACAACGUUUUUGAUCUUUCAAAAGGUUCACAGAAACGACUCAGGUGUGUAUCAGUGUAGAAGUGGAGGAAGUGACAGCCACCACAUCAAGGUCUCUAUCGACAGUGAGUGACACCUUGAGAGUAAUGCAUCAAUAAUCAAUAAUAAAGGAACAUUUUCAUCUUCGUAUCAGUAAGACUUAUUAGCAUUGCAUGUGCUUUGUCUUGUAGGUGUUGGAGAGCCUGCCAAUGUUACAGAGAACAACGACACGUGUAAGAAUAAACUAUCGCACUGGCUUUCUAUGUCUUCAUUUGAAUCUAUACUCUUCUAACACUUUAUUACUGAAGAUUCAACGCAUUCCCAUUAACGUCUUCCAGCAGGAACAACUCGUGAACCCAAAGGAUAUACGUGGCUGUACGUGUACUCUGCUGCAGGGGUCGGGGCGUUCGUCAUCAUCGUGAUAAUCAUGUCGGUCGUGUCAAUGCGAGGGUGUGAAGGUGAGUCGUUGAGUAAGUACACGGGACAUGAUUGUGACUUUAAAAAGAGUGACUAACUUCAGAAAACAUGUCCCCCAUGCAGGGAAAUCAAAGAAAGAGAAGCAAACCGAGAAUCAG
rnacentral:lncRNA from 1 species